AACGAACGCUGGCGGUAUGCUUUACACAUGCAAGUCGAACGGGUAAGAGCCGUAGCAAUACGGAAUUCUGCUAGUGGCAAACGGGUGAGUAACGCGUGGGAACCUACCUUAUAGUACGGAUUAGCCCCGGGAAACUGGGAUUAAUACCGUAUACGCUCUUCGGAGGCAAGAUUUAUCGCUAUAAGAUGGGCCCGCGUUAGAUUAGCUAGUUGGUGAGGUAAUGGCUCACCAAGGCGACGAUCUAUAGCUGGUUUGAGAGGAUGAUCAGCCACACUGGAACUGAGACACGGUCCAGACUUCUACGGGAGGCAGCAGUGGGGAAUAUUGGACAAUGGGCGAAAGCCUGAUCCAGCAAUACCGCGUGAGUGAUGAAGGCCUUAGGGUUGUAAAACUCUUUCAGUAGGGAAGAUAAUGACGGUACCUACAGAAGAAGCACCGGCUAACUCCGUGCCAGCCGCCGCCGUAA
rnacentral:rRNA from 1 species